CGGUAAGACAGAGGGUGCAAACGUUGCUCGGAAUUACUGGGCGUAAAGGGCGCGUAGGCGGAUUUGGAAGUCGGGUGUGAAAUCCCUGGGCUCAACCUAGGAACUGCAUUCGAAACUCCAAGUCUAGAGUGACGGAGAGGAAAGCGGAAUUCCCGGUGUAGAGGUGAAAUUCGUAGAUAUCGGGAGGAACACCAGAGGCGAAGGCGGCUUUCUGGACGUCUACUGACGCUGANGCGCGAAAGCGUGGGGAGCAAACAGGAUUAGAUACCCUGGUAGUCCACGCCGUAAACGUUGGGCACUANGUGUCGCGACGAUGACUGUUGCGGUGCCGUANCUAACGCAUUAAGUGCCCCGCCUGGGGAGUACGGCCCCAGGCUAAACUCAAGGAAUUGACGGGGGCCCCACANCGGUGGACAUGUGNUUAUUC
rnacentral:rRNA from 1 species